AGCUGGAGUCAAAUCUUUGAACGCCUCCUUAAACCCUACUCAUUUUCACCCUUGAGCAGCACAUCAAAGCUCAUCCCCUAAACCCCAGAACAAAUGUCUUCUUCCGUCGCCUUGCGCCACGCGCGCCACCUCUCAACCGCCGCUCCUUUGUCAGCUUUCAGCGCCACCAUCUCUAUAUCCAAAGCAAAAUCAAAGCUUAAAGCCGAGCACGACCCAGACAAAGCCCUAGAGAUUUACUCCUCCGUUUCCGACCGUUACAUUUCCCCUUUGUCCUCCCGUUAUGCUCAGGAAUACACAGUCAAGCGCCUCGCUAAAUCCCAUCGUUUUUCCGACAUUGAAAGUUUCCUCGACUCUCACAAGAAUAGCUCACAAAUUACUCAAGAGCCUUUUCUUUCAUCCAUAAUUCGUUCAUAUGGAGUCGCCGGAAUGUUUGAUCACGCGUUUAAUAUUUAUCAUGAGAUGGAUGAUUUAGGCACCCCCAGAUCAGCAAUUUCUUUCAAUGUGCUUUUAACAGCUUGCGUGCACUCGAAACAAUAUGAUCGUGUCCCCCAGCUGUUUGAUGAAAUUCCGGUGAAGUAUGGAUUUUUACCUGAUAAAGUCUCAUAUGGUAUAUUAAUUAGGUCAUAUUGUGAAAAUGGAUCGCCAGAAAUGGCAAUGGAAAGGCUUAAGGAGAUGGAAGAGAAAGACGUGGAGAUUACUACUGUUACUUUCACUACUAUAUUGCACUCGUUUUAUAAGAAGGGGAAGAGCGAUGAGGCCAAAAGAGUUUGGAAUGAGAUGGUGAUCAGAGGGCGUGGACCGGAUGUUGGUGCAUACAAUGUAAAGAUUAUGAACAUUCAGGGUGGUAAUCCGGAGGGCGUGAAAGCGUUAAUUGAGGAAAUGAGUGAUGCAGGGUUAAAACCCGAUACGAUCAGCUACAAUUACUUGAUGACUUGUUAUUGUAAGAAUGGCUUGAUGGAUGAGGCGCAGAAGGUUUACGAGGAUUUGGAGUCAAAGGGGUGCAAUCCAAACGCUGCAACGUUUAGGACUUUGAUCUUUUACUUGUGUAAGAAGGGACGGUUUGAGACAGGGUAUACAGUUUUCAAGGAGAGUGUGAGAGUUCACAAGAUUCCGGAUUUCAGUACACUAAAGUAUUUGGUGGAAGGGUUGGUGCAGAGAUCAAAGUUGAAAGAUGCAAAAGGGAUGAGCAGGACAGUGAAGAAGAAGUUCCCUCCUAACUUGGUAAAAGCUUGGACCAAGCUAGAGGAGGAGCUUGGUCUGGCUAAACUAGAAGCCGGUGAUAAGAAGAAAAAGGAUGCCCGAUGGCGAAUUCCUUUCAUAUAACUGACAAAUUCGAAAGGGGAAAAGAACUAGCUGGGUUAUGCCGAUUAUGGUCAUAGUAAGGUCGAAUUUCUUUUCGUUUUGCGCAUCAAAGGUUAAGGUUGUGCAUUGCCCCAUUCGGAAACCUCGUUGCUCAGCUGUCACUGUCAACUCCACUUGUUCGUUUCUAUUGUCUAUGUAUAGUACUAAUUAAAUAUUUAGUCAUAUUUUAGUGGGUUCAUAUGAGAAUCAUCAACAAUUUACCACUAGUACGUGGAAUGAUACAGGGUGGAGUAAAUUUAUGGAGGAUAUUUGAGAUAUCCAUCUCUUUGUACUUUAGAACUUGAACUAUAGCUGGGUUUUAAGUGAUCUAAAUUCUUCCAGAACGAUAGCCGAAUAACAGAGCUAAGUAUUCGGAUGUGUAUUAAGUUUUCCAAGUUGUAAAAGGUGUAGAAUAUUUCACAUGGUUGAGUGAAUGAUCUGUUGUCUCCUUAUAUGGUUUUGGGUAAUUUUCACUUCAUGAGUUAGCUUUUGCAGUAAAGUUAGGCGCAAACUUCAUUUUCUUUAUAUGGUAUCAGAUCUAGACCCGUUCCUAUUCUUUGUUUACCCAAUGAUUGGGAUCUCAUUGUUACGUUGUCCAUGCUCCAAUUCCAAAUGCCCUGUCUUGUGUGUAAUUGAACAUCUUCGUUAACUUAUACUGUAUUCUGUGAUGCUUUCUAAGAUCAUACUCUUUUAUAUGUAAAAAUUGGAGAUUUCAUUAGAUACAAGAGCACCCCUUGAUUAUUGUACAAAGAUGAGAUUUUCUUAAAAAUAAAUGUCACAAUAAAGUAGGUGCACAUUAUGGUCCUUUCUUUGUAGUAAUAUAUUAGCAAGCACCUUCUGGUGUAGACCUGGAUAGCUGAACUUCAUAUAUAGCUUCCAUCUCUUCCCACUGUUCAUCUGCAUGCACAAUGGGCUUUAACAUGCAGAGAGGUGUUUAGCCCUUCAUAUCUUUUAAUUUCAAGUAAUGUUAUAUGGGAAAGAAGGAGGAGGGAUCAAGAGCACGAAUAAUUGCUUAAGGUACAAUAACUUCAAUUUAUUUAGCAUCUCUAAAAUGAAAUCUAGACGUUCGGAUAUACAUGUACGAUACUAUUGAAAAUACAACUUCCAGGCUUAUAUUUCAACCUGUGGCGAACAGUUGAAUUUAUACUACUACUACUACUACUACUAAUUACACAUAAGAGUGCAAAUCUUAUGUACAUAUCAACAUGUCUAGACAUUUGGGCCAAUAUUUUUAUUCUGAGAAGCAUGACCAAUACCCGGACUGUGUCCGGCUUUGAGAUCGUUUACGCUUCCUUCAACAGUGUGCUUUGGUUGAUAAUUUACUUUUGGUCCUGAAGAAGAAUGUCCAAUACCUGGACUAUUUCCUGUUCCUGUUGGUGUGUAGUUGAUUUUUCCCGUAACUGGUGAAGUAUCACCAGUAAAACUUUGCCUCCCAAGAGUUUCUUUUUCCAUCGUGUUAUCAGCAGAGUGAAACUCGUGUUUCUUCAAUGCUUUCAGUUGUCUUCCCUCAGUCAUUAGAACUAGGUGGAAAGCAAUUACUGCAAGAAGGAAACUAAAUACACAGAUAUGUUUGAUACAUGCCAUAACUAGAGAGGCAAUUUCUGUAGAGGUACUUAAAGGUGAAAUGGCUCUUUGAAUGCUUAAUUUUUUUGCUUGUGAAAGAAGCAAAGAGAACUAGACACCACAGGAGAGAAAAGUAAUGUGGUUUCAAGUGUUCUAUUGAGAUGAUAUCUAGCUUGGUCUUUGGGUGAAGAAUGUUUUCCGUUAUUGUGGUACCUGUGUAUAUAUAGGAACGAGAACUUCCUACCCAUGUAAGGUCAUCAAUAUUUUAUUACUCUGUACUUUUUCUAAAAUUUAAAAUUGUCCUCUUAUAGGAACAAUUUGGAUGGUUCAUGGUCCUUCAAUAAGUUUGGAAUGCUUUUAACUUGUUUUGUAAAUGGCUCGUCACUGAUCUUUAGCACUGUAUUUCGUUGUUACUUCUUUCCUAGUUCUUUUGUGGUCCAUCAGUGCUUCUUUCAUUUCUUUGUCCUCUUUACAACUUGAGUUGCUGCUAUACAUAUAUUUUUCAAAAAUAGGAUUUAAGUUAUAUGAUAGCAAAAUUUUUUUACAACAUAGUAAAAUAUAAUUAUACUAUCAGGCGGUAGUAGAUUUACUCUAUUUUUCAGGUUAUUAUAGUUGCUAUGAAGAGUUAUUUGUUGUAGGAAGAAGGAUAAGGAGCUUAGUUUACUGGAUCUAAAUUAACCCAAUAUUCUUAACAUGGGGCUUAAAUAUAUGUGAAAAGUUAUUACUAAAGUUUUAACAAAUAUUAAGUUGUGAACCUAUAAUUAUAUUUCAAAAGUGCAGUAAUUUCAAUGGUAAGAACUUAUAAAAUGAAUUCAUUAAGUUUAUAUUCAGUAUCCAUCUCUGGUCAUAACUCAUAAGUCAACAUUAAAUUAUGGUGUAAAGAAUCUAUAUAAUGUUAGUGCACCCAAUUUACACUAAAAAUAUAAUGCUUUGACCUGCUUGAGUCAUGUGGUCGUUUGGCUGGCAAGUAGUUAUUGCAUUGUAUAGUGUUUAGACUUGCAGUAAGGCUGAUAGUUGGGUGUACAGUAACCUUUCUUUUUAUUGAUGCAGCUUUAUUGUUUCUAAAUAGCAAAGAUAGCUAAAGAUCUUCAGAUUUUAGGCUUAUAAUAACAAAAUAUGUUCAGCCAGCCGUCCCACCACCGAAAUUUUAACUUGAAAGAUUGGAUUCUUUAGUACUUCCCACUUGUCUGUGCUUAAUGUUUUUUAUAUGGGUGGUUUAUAUGUAGGUUUUGACUCUUUUCAAUACACAAAUUUAAGUGAAACCCAUCUUAUUCUAGUUCAUUUUAAUUUGUUUAUGGUACACUUAUGCUUUUGAGAGAGUACUUCAUGAUUAGUUAGCUGUUAAGAUUCCAAAUCUAUGAUAAUCAUGAUCAUUCCUAUUUCAGCUGUAUCAAAAACCUAUGAAGGGCGGCUAAGGUCGUUUUCUUAUAAUCUGCUAAAAGUUGCUUUCCAGAAAAUUAAAAAGCCUUUUCUGCUCCUUUUCUCUCUAUAUUUUGAGCUCAUUCUUAUUUUAGUCCUUUUGUAUCAAAUUCGGCUGGAGAAGAGAACUUAUGAAAUAAGUAUUUCUUCUAUAGCUUGCUGCAUACUUAUUUAUGCUCAAUCAUAACUAUAUAUGCAUUUGAAAAGGAUAUUCUUCAUACUGCUGUUAAAUCCAAUUAUAUUUUCCUUUUGGAUCUUGGGAAUUCCCUUAUAAUGUUCAUUAAUUGCUAGUUGCUUCUCAUUUGUUGGCUACUCCUAUUCAUUUUCUCUUUGCAUUAGUAUGAAAUUGGAGCUCUAUGUUUUCGUGGGAUCAAAUAAUAUUCUGUUGAAAAGUAAAAGCACCAAGAUGCGCCGCACGCACGGGUGCCUUGGAAUAUGAUUUCUGCUUAAAAGAGCACCAACCACUAACCAAAAAAGUUGAUUGCUAAUGGAUGGCUUAAAUAAGCUACGGAUAGUUGACUGAAACUAAGUGAUCAUUAGUCUGGAUUUUGAUUUGUUGUGGUCCUUUUCAUUUAUAUCUUCUACGCUUUGACUCUUCCUUUUUCUUGUCCAGAGUAGUAAUAUAUUCAACUGUCAUGACCACUUAUCUUUUUUAGGAAUUUUCAAAUUGAUGUGACACCUCUAAUACUUUUACUUACUAGUACUAUAGUAUUAGUUUUAUUUGUUUUAAUAGAAUUGUUUUAGCUUUCUGUUGUUGUCGCUGGUUAAUUUGCUUUCCCUAAUGAGGUAUAUCGUGGAUUCGUGGUCUAAGGGAUAAUAGAUAUAGCUGUGAUUAUGCUCUUCCUUGAUAUCCUUAGCUCUAUUUAGCUCAUCUUAGUCCAAUAUUAUAUGAAAUAAAAUAAAAAUAAAGUUAUUACUCUUGCUUCUACUAGAUAGUUCAAUUUUGCAGCAAAUUUGCCUGGUUCUUCCUGAACUUCAAUGUUGGGUUUUGCAUGCUCAAUUUGGUGCCAAGCUCCUCUUUUUCUUUACCCCAUAUUUCUCUUUUCACUAUGUACCACUUCUUUCUUUUUGUCUCUGAUAUUGUUUUGUUCUUUCUCGUUUUGGCUUAUCAUCUCAUAUUUUUUUCCCUUGUUUUUCUAGGGGGUGGGGUGAAGAUCUUUUGUCUAGUGAAUACUAAAUUAAUUUGGUAACUACAGAAGCCACCAACUUGUGAGGGCCCUAGCACUCUUCUUUGUCUCAAAUAGGUUAUUAAGUAAGUCAAAAUAAACCAAAUGAUACCUUAGAAGUGGGAUGUGCAAUUCAUUGACUGUCCAUUUCCUCAUUCUCUCUAUAAACUGAAAUUGGAAAAGGAGAUUCUUUCAGUAAGGACAUCUUAAGUUGGCUCCUCGAGUCCUGGAAGCCUCUCUUUAGUGCUGGCCCACCAAAUUGCAGAAGACAUAAAUGAUAGACUAUAUAUAUUACUACUAGAAAACAAAGAGCAUUUUGUUUCAGCUUUUGCUAGGCUGUGAUUCAUGAGUGCUGUUGGUAGCUCAAAUGGUUAUUAUAGUAUAAAUCACCUAAAAAAGACGGUAUAAAGGAUCUUUUGCAUGUCUUUUGAACAAAAAAGGUUUAUAUAUUUUUUAAUGUAGUAGUUGCUUUUACCAUUAUAAUUCAUUUUUCCUCCUUUUGCAUAUUCUCAAGUUAGAUGGUUAGUUACCCUUGCAGUUUUUUUGUUGAAUAUUCAGAGAUGCGCCAACUACCAAGGCACAUGUUAGAAUUUUGGAGAGUGUGCAGAUUUUGACAACUACGCAGACAUUUACCAAGAGAUUUUUUUUUUUUUUUUUUU